UGUGCAUCCGUGUGCAAAUGUCUAAGUGUGUGUGUGUGUGUGUGCAGGUACUCUGCGUGUGGGUGGGUCCUGUGUAUGACUGAGAGAGUGUGUGUAUGUGAGAGUGUGUGGGGAUCUUCACACGGGGACUGCUGUGACUCGUCACAGGAUGUUCGCCGGCUCUCCCCUUGCAUCUCGCCUGCAUGCUUACCAGGGAGGCUCGCGCUGCUCUCGCUCUAAUCGCACAUCUGCUUCUCUGAGCACACGCUCUCUGUCUCUCUCUUUCUCUCUCCCUCGUGCAAGUGCACACACACUAUCGCUCUUGCGCACAACCUGCCGGACCUGCUCUCUCCUUUGCUCUGUGUAGUCGGCAUUGCUGAGACAAGAGGGGGACAGAAGUACGAGAAGAGAGAGGUGCACUCGCCGCAAAGAUGUUUUUCUUAGUCGCUCCAACAGACAGGAAUCUACUGGCAAGAAGAAAGGCUCGGUCUUCCCCAGGAGAGAGGAGUACAAAGCCCCCAGUCUGCACACAACAGAUGCCGAAAGCUAGUCCAUCUGCCACCAGCUUGCAGUGCCACAUGGGCCAGAGAGAUUUAAUACAAGAGAGGACUUUUAUUUAUUCCUUUGCCUAUGUAAGUUUGUGCCACAUAAUCAAAUACAAAUACACAUCUAAAUCUGGCACAGAUGCAACUUUAAAAUUAAAUUCACACUAACGGACACACACAUGUGCGAGCAUACAGGCAGCCGCAAGAGGUUAUAGGGAGUGCAAGAAUCUUCUGUUUUAAAGAGCGGCACCCGGGGCAACUAUGACAGAUUUAUUUAGGCAAAGAUGUAGCCCCCAACGCGGGGUAAAGACCACUUGAACUCACAGCUCAGAGCGGCGCACUGGUAUAAUUUAACAGCCUCUGAAUAGCACAUUAUCUCCCCGGCUCUGUUGGAGCAUAUUUUAGCUGUAUGAUAUCAUUAUUAAGAGACAAACACAGACCAAAAAAAAAAAAGUAGCAUUUUCAUUAGUGUCAACUGUCUGAGCUCUGAGCCAGGAAAGGUAAACACCAAACAAUCAUGACAGGCUGAAAGAGACCGUGGGAGCUGAAGCAGGCGAGAGAAAGAGAGAUGACAAGAGUGGAAAAGCAAGCAAGAGAGAGAAAAAAAAAAGAGACAGCGACGGAGAGAGUCAAAAGGGGCUAACAUUAAACAACUGCUGUUAAUUGCUCUAAGCAUCCACAUUAUGCCAGUAAUUUCUCCCAUUUCUCUUUCAGCGCUAAGGGCUUCAGGCUAGAAAGCUCCUUCAGCCCCUUUAAUAAACUACUCAGAGUGCCCCACUGGAAAAGACAAACACGAGGCCCCUGGCCUUAGAAACAUUUGCCUCACUAGGGGGAAUGCUAUGCCUGUUUCUACACUUCUGUGACAAUUCUGUGCCUUCUCCCUUCAGGUAUUUGUUCCCUACGUCUCUUCUUCCAGUGCUUUCUGCUGCCAAGGUCAACAGAGACAAACAGGCCCACCAGCGUCUUGAUGUGGUGGCAGCAGAACAGUGAGAGGGGAAAGAGGGAGAAAAUGGGGGAGAUGGAUAGAUAGACAUGUGUAGUGGGUACAGCGGGGAGGGGCGAUGGUGGCAGCAGCUGGUUACCAACCUCGGCAAAAGCAGCAGCAGUGGAGGAGCAGUGCAUCUGAAACGCACUCAAACUCCACACUGAUGAUAGCAAUAAAUGCUUCCCAUCUCCCAGCACUGCUAUAAUUUCCAUAGUUUAUAGGCACACAAACACACCACUACUAUUUUAAUUAAAGCUACACUGGCACUGGGGACAAAGUCAAGUGUGCCUUGAAAAGCACAUGCACUGCUGUAAGGUCAGCUACUAGAAGCCAAUCUUCAGCUAUAAUUUUAUUAACAGGUAUUAGCCUAAAUGUAUUGAAUUUACAAAAUAAUGCACUAAUUUU